UUUCAUAGGCUCAGAGCCAUGGGUCUUCAGACCGGGGUCAAGGAGGGGCCUAGACUUGGGCCUUUGCUCGGCGCUCUGGCUCCCGUGCUUUGUCUCUUCCUGGGCUCUUCACUGCACACACUGCUUCCUGUGGGACUAGGGGACUUGGGCUUCCCUGGCUCACUUUCUUUUGGAAGCUGAAGGGGAGAAGCUCCAAACUCAAGGGACAGGAAGAAUGGCCGUUGUUUGAAUAAGAAUCUGAAGCUGCACUAUCUGAGAGAACUUGAUCACAAGGCCACACAGAACUGAUAGAGGCUGAGGAAUGCAGUCUAGACGUGGGACUUGGGAAGAAGAGGAGAACGCAGAGAUUGUUGAGUACUAGCAGCUUGUAAGCAGAAGGGUUGGCACCCAAACUCAGUUAUCUAAUUCAAAAGCCCUCUUGAUUGUGAAGCCAAAACUGACAUUUUUGCCCUGACUCCUUUAUAAAAAAACCUGUGCAACAUGUUUUGCAGUAAUGGGGAAAAAAUAAGAUUACCUGUCUAGUUCUGAUCCCCAGUGAAUGGCGUCUUGCACAUUACCUGUCAGACUGGACUCAUCUAGCCAAAACUUUAGCCUUGUCUUGAGUAACAGUGACAUGUGAAGAAAUGAUACAACCUUUGUGGAUAUGAUAAUCACAUGAGAAAGAUGCUAUUUUUCUACCAUAAUCAGACUAUUGGCAAUUUUUUUGUUCUCGUUAAUACACGUGCACGCGCGCACACACACACACACACACACAAACGUGUAUACACACCUUCAAAGCAUUCCUUCUGAAGUCUGACUGACUUGUAUUUCAUUGCAAGUAAAUUUUUAUUUUCUAAAUGCCUUUGUCUUUCACUCUUAUUUUGGAUAUCACAUCAGUUCUGCCUUUCAAAUUUAUUUCUUCUCUUGAUUAAAUUUCCCAAGUAUUUUAUUUCA